rnacentral:rRNA from 1 species
GAUGAACGCUAGCUACAGGCUUAACACAUGCCAGUCGAGGGGAAACGACAUCGCAAGCUUGCUUUUGAUGGGCGUCGACCGGCGCACGGGUGAGUAACGCGUAUCCCACCUGCCCAUCACUUGGGAAUAACCUUGCGAAAGUAAGACUAAUACCCAAUGACAUCCCACGAAGACAUCUGAAUGGGAUUAAAGAUUUAUCGGUGAUGGAUGGGGAUGCGUCUGAUUAGCUUGUUGGCGGGGUAACGGCCCACCAAGGCAACGAUCAGUAGGGGUUCUGAGAGGAAGGUCCCCCACAUUGGAACUGAGACACGGUCCAAACUCCUACGGGAGGCAGCAGUGAGGAAGAUUGGUCAAUGGGAGAGAGCCUGAACCAGCCAAGUAGCGUGCAGGAUGACGGCCCUAUGGGUUGUAAACUGCUUUUAGAAGGGAAUAAAGUGGGUCUCGUGAGACUUUUUGCAUGUACCUUAUGAAUAAGGACCGGCUAAUUCCGUG